AAACCAUGAUGCAGAUUGGAUCAACAUCUUAAAUUGCUCCCAAGCUUCUUGUAAGCUUUCUUGUUCUAGUUGCUUAAAUGUAGCAAUCUCUCUAUUGAGUUA
rfam:Gossypium arboreum cultivar AKA8401 contig_56978_1, whole genome shotgun sequence.